rnacentral:lncRNA from 1 species
ACACAUUCCAGGGGCUCAGCUCAGUGCAUCCCCAGCCUGUGCCUCUGACACCCCGAUCGAUAUUAGAACACUCUCUUCACCCCAAGAAACCCCGUUCCAUCAGGGCUCAUCCGUCACUCCCCCGACCCCCUCUACCUCCAGCUCUGGCCACCAUCACUCUGCUUGCUUUCUCUUAAAUUUGCCUCUUCUGGAUGUUUAUCUAGAGGAGUCAUGACAUGUGGCCUUUGUGUCUGGCUCCUUUCUCUUAGCAUGCUGUUUGCAGGUUCUAUUCACCUCGCAGCCUGCAUCAGUGCUUGCUUCCUUUUCUUAGCUGUGUAAUAUUCUACUGUGUGGACACUUCAUAUUUUCUUACUCAUUCUUCUAUUGGUGCACGUUGGGUCCUUCCUCUGUUGGUGCACGUCCUUCCUUCCUGUUGACAAGUAUCAAUAAUGCUGCUGUGAGCAUUUGUUUUUAUAUGAACAGACUUGCUCAUUUUUUGAUAGGGGCACAUGAGGAUCAGUAGAGUGAUUUGGGGGGAAUCUCAUUGGUGAUCUAUGCAAAAGGAUCCAGCAUGAAGUGUUGAGAGCCACAGCCGAAGGGGCCCCAGCAAACUUCCAGCUGCCAGCUGAUGAUUGGCUCACAGCGGCCACGGCAAACUUCUAGCUGCCAACUGAUUGGCUCCUCUGUGGUGAUGCUUAUUGGGCUGUUUCCCCGCCCUUUCAGACCACGGAGAUGCUCAUUGGGGGACUCUUUUUUGGCUCCACCCACACGACCCAGCCAAUCAGCCUCAAGAGCAGGAGGAGUCGGGGAAGUGGAGAGGCUUGUGGGAAGCCGGUGGUGGCAGUUGGGCUCUGAGGGUUUUUCCCGAGGAGCAGUUUUGUUUGGCAUGUGUGGUUCUAAAAAUAAAGUUCGUUUCCUUUGACAAGUGGCUCCUGAAUUGUGCCCAGCCAGACUGCGGCAUUUGGUGGGCCGCACGGGGAGCGACUGAGGGUAAGUGAUAAGGUAAACUGCUCGCCCCUGAGGGCAGGGCAAGAGGAUGGGUAGCCAUUUUAAGAUUCUUCUUUUGUUUUGUUUCGCUUUUGUUUUAAGUUGCCUGUCCCUGGAGAUGAGUGAGACGGAAGAAAAACCGCUCACAUCUGAGGAACAGAUAGGGAGAAAGGGCAGAUGGACAUUUCAGGAGGAUAGAAAGGCUAUUAUAAUGAUUUUUUGUUGUUCCAAUUUUGUUUCAUUCUGUCUCAGCUUUGUUUGGCAUCAUCUUGUUGGGUUGUAUUAUAGUUAUAGUAGAAAUAUUCAAGUAAAAGGGAAGGUCUCUCGAGCUAGUCAGACAGAGGAAGAAAGUUUAGAGCAGAAAAAGCCAUCAGGGGGAAAGUUACAACAGGAGACUGCUACUAACACCUUUCUAUCACCAGAGGGCGUAAGUGUCCAACCAACAGCACCACCUCCAUAUGCUGGGAGGCCCCCAACCUCCGUAGUUGAUAGAUGGGAUCCUGAGACAGGACCUCAAAGAUCAGCAUGCUCUGUAUUUGAACAAGCAGGAGGGCAGCGAAUUCACCAUGUUUUAGAUUUCAAAACAGUGAAGCAGCUAAAAGAGGCUGUAACAACCUAUGGUCCUCAAGCACCCUUCACUGUAAACAUGGUCAA